UCCACCCACCCACAGACCCCUCCUCACUUUACUAAUUUCUCAUUUUCCUCACUUCACUAAACCAAAAUAUAUGUUCACUUCACUAAUUUCUACAAAUAACACCCUUUCUCUCAAACAAUCAAUAGUGUCGCCGUCGCUGUCGUUGUCUUAUCGCCACAUCCGACCUCAAGUUUUCAUCAUCUUGUGUUGUUGUCGCCCUCGUCAUUUCCAACCUUAAAUAAGAAUUUCGAUUCUCAAAGAUAAAAUAGCUCCAAGAAAAAAAGAGAAACAAUUGCUACUAAGAGGGGUAUUAGGACCAUCAUCAAAGAUAUCGGAUUCGUUUACUCCUGAUGUUGUUAAAAGAAGAAAAAAAUAAAUUUCGAAGGCAUUAUCAAGUGUAAAAAAAAAAAAAGGCAAAGAGACAGAUUGAGUCUAUCAUCGAGAAGAAAUUGAUGUCCUAGUUGAUUCAAAGAUAAUUUAUUUUGAGUUUUUUCUAGUUGAUUUGUUAUGUUUUGUUGAAUUUUUUUAUUAUCUUUUGUUGAACUUUUAUAGUGGUGAUGAGACUCAUAUAUGAAUUGGUUAUCUUGGAU